AGAAGAAAGCUAUAUUUUGUAUACGAAAAGUCCUAUGAUGUCAAAAGAGACAGGCUCUGUGACAUUUCAAAUACUUGAAAAUCAUGAAUGAAUGCCCUCAGAGAAAACGAGGGUCUUAUUUCAAUAUCAUAUUGGAAUGUAACUGGAAAUAGUUGGGAAAAUGGCAUCUCUUCACUCAACCUUUUGUGUAAUUUAAAUAAUGAAUAAUGGCACGCCUUCUGUAGAAGGUGAAACCCCAUAGAACUCAAUGGACAACGUGCUCGGAAGAAAUUAUUCUCUUGAACUCAAUGUGCGAAGAUUCGCGCCCAGGUCAUUCCUAGAGAAGGAAAUAUAUUUUUUUAUGUAUAUGGACUUCAAAGACGAUUCAUAGCUUAGAAGGAGUCAUUGUAAUGUUAAUGUUAUGCUUAAUCAUUGCAACUAAAUCUGACCAAUAAAGGAAGACUAAAAAAAGUAACUCCAGACCCUCUAUAAUCAAAAUCAGUGACCAUUCCCUUUGGCUUGAUUUUACAACUUGAACCCUGGUUAUAUGUAUUGAUCAGAAUUUACAACCGGGUGUUUUUGACAAAAAAAACUGUUAUCGAAUAGCCAAAGCCAGAUUUAAGACAAUGGAAAAAUUUAUUUUCUUAUUAACAUAAGUUAUUUUUUUCUAUUUAUUCUGUAUUCUUAUUAUUAAAGUGCAUGUUGACAAUUAUGACAAUACUAUACUAGUGAAGAAAGUGAAAUCAGUGAAGAGGAUAUAUUAAAUCCACACUAUCCAUGGUAAAUGGCUUUGUAAUUUUUAUUUAAAUAUGUAUCUAGAAAGCUUAGAAUACAAUGUGUAAGUACUUUA
rnacentral:lncRNA from 1 species